rnacentral:rRNA from 1 species
CCUAUCCCUGUCGUUGCCUUCGCCUACCCACGACUCAAGCAAGUCUGAUAGUGAAGGCGGGCUACCACCCGAACUGCAUUGGAAACUGUUGACCUGGAGUGCCGGAGAGGUAAGCGGAAUUCCUAGUGUAGCGGUGAAAUGCGUAGAUAUUAGGAGGAACACCAGUGGCGAAGGCGGCUUACUGGACGGUAACUGACGUUAAGCAGACCGCCAGCGUUCGUCGACGCGGCCG